CUAACACAUGCAAGUCGAACGGUAACAGGAAGAAGCUUGCUUCUUUGCUGACGAGUGGCGGACGGGUGAGUAAUGUCUGGGAAACUGCCUGAUGGAGGGGGAUAACUACUGGAAACGGUAGCUAAUACCGCAUAACGUCGCAAGACCAAAAAGGGGGACCUUCGGGCCUCUUGCCAUCGGAUGUGCCCAGAUGGGAUUAGCUAGUAGGUGGGGUAACGGCUCACCUAGGCGACGAUCCCUAGCUGGUCUGAGAGGAUGACCAGCCACACUGGAACUGAGACACGGUCCAGACUCCUACGGGAGGCAGCAGUGGGGAAUAUUGCACAAUGGGCGCAAGCCUGAUGCAGCCAUGCCGCGUGUAUGAAGAAGGCCUUCGGGUUGUAAAGUACUCUCAGCGGGGAGGAAGGGAGUAAAGUUAAUACCUUUGCUCAUUGACGUUACCCGCAGAAGAAGCACCGGCUAACUCCGUGCCAGCAGCCGCGGUAAUACGGAGGGUGCAAGCGUUAAUCGGAAUUACUGGGCGUAAAGCGCACGCAGGCGGUUUGUUAAGUCAGAUGUGAAAUCCCCGGGCUCAACCUGGGAACUGCAUCUGAUACUGGCAAGCUUGAGUCUCGUAGAGGGGGGUAGAAUUCCAGGUGUAGCGGUGA
rnacentral:rRNA from 1 species